UAGGGAAUCUUCCGCAAUGGACGAAAGUCUGACGGAGCAACGCCGCGUGAGUGAAGAAGGAUUUCGGUUCGUAAAACUCUGUUGUUAGGGAAGAAAAAAUGUAUAGUAACUAUAUACAAAAGAGACGGUACCUAACCAGAAAGCCACGGCUAACUACGUGCCAGCAGCCGCGGUAAUACGUAGGUGGCAAGCGUUGUCCGGAAUUAUUGGGCGUAAAGCGCGCGCAGGUGGUUUAGAAAGUAUGAUGUGAAAGCCCAAGGCUCAACCGGGGAGGGUCAUUGGAAACAAAAAAACUGAAGUGCAGGAGAGAAAAGUGGAAUUCCUGGUGGAGCGGUGAAAUGCGUAGAGAUUAGGAGGAACCCCGGUGGCGAAAGCGGCUGUUUGGCCUGAAACUGACACUAAGGCGCGAAAGCGUGGGGAGCAAACAGG
rnacentral:rRNA from 1 species